GCAGAUAGUUUUUGCAAUUGUGUGAUGUUUGGAAUUCUGGGGACUUUUCAGAAGGUAAAUGCUAGGGCUCCAAAAGGCAGAGUGGGUUGUUGCUUGGUUGUUGCUGGUUGUAGAUGAUUGUUUCAGUGGAGGUUUGUUAAGUAGUCACGAGCAAAGAAAAAACAACAAGAAAUUACAUCAAACUUGCCUAAAGGAACUCAACAAUGUUGCCCCCUUUCAGGGAUCUCUUUCCUUUCUCCUCUAUUUUUUUUCUCCUAUACAGUGUUAGGGGCUUGAAAAGGUGGAAGAAAAAGGGUGGGAGAGAGAAGAACCCACAAAGUAGGCAAAGACUGGCUACAUAACUCAAUGCAGCUUGUAUGCACACAGUAUAUAUACAUAAAAUAAAAAUAUUAAAAAAGAAAAAAGUAAAUUAUUUCAUAGGGGUUAGAGAGAUGGCUUAGUGGUCAAGAGCACUGGUGCUCUUCCAAAGGACCCAAGUUUAAUUCCCAGUAUGGUAGUUCACAACCAUCUCUAACUCCAAUUCCAGAGAUAGAACACUCUUGUCUGGUCUCUGUGGGUGCACACAUGUGGCACACAUUCACAGACACAUACAUCCAUUUAAAUAAAACAUUUUAAAAAUCUUA
rnacentral:lncRNA from 1 species